GACGAACGCUGGCGGCGUGCUUAACACAUGCAAGUCGAACAGAAAGGCCCUGCUUUUGUGGGGUGCUCGAGUGGCGAACGGGUGAGUAACACGUGAGUAACCUGCCCUUGACUUUGGGAUAACUUCAGGAAACUGGGGCUAAUACCGGAUAGGAGCUCCUGCUGCAUGGUGGGGGUUGGAAAGUUUCGGCGGUUGGGGAUGGACUCGCGGCUUAUCAGCUUGUUGGUGGGGUAGUGGCUUACCAAGGCUUUGACGGGUAGCCGGCCUGAGAGGGUGACCGGCCACAUUGGGACUGAGAUACGGCCCAGACUCCUACGGGAGGCAGCAGUGGGGAAUAUUGCACAAUGGGCGGUAGCCUGAUGCAGCAACGCCGCGUGCGGGAUGACGGCCUUCGGGUUGUAAACCGCUUUCGCCUGUGACGAAGCGUGAGUGACGGUAAUGGGUAAAGAAGCACCGGCUAACUACGUG
rnacentral:rRNA from 1 species